UUUAACUGAGCGUUCAGUUACUUGACGUAGACCCGAAACCGGGCGACCUACCCAUGAGCAGGAUGAAGCGAAAGUAAAAUUUCGUGGAGGUCCGAACCCACGAGCGUUGAAAAGCUCGGGGAUGACUUGUGGGUAGCGGUGAAAUUCCAAUCGAGCCCGGAGAUAGCUGGUUCUCCCCGAAAUAGCUUUAGGGCUAGCCUCAAGGUGAGAGAUACGGAGGUAGAGCACUGAAUGUCCUAGGGGGUAUUGCACCUACCGAAGACUAUCAAACUCCGAAUGCCGUCAUCUUAUACUUGGGAGUCAGACUGUGGGUGAUAAGAUUCAUAGUCGAAAGGGCAACAGCCCAGAUCGUCAGCUAAGGUCCCUAAAUGUAAGUUAAGUGGUAAAGGAUGUGGGAUUGCACAGACAACCAGGAUGUUGGCUUAGAAGCAGCCACUCAUUCAAAGAGUGCGUAAUAGCUCACUGGUCGAGUGAUCCUGCGCCGAAGAUUUCCGGGGCUAAAACUUACUACCGAAGCUACGGCAUCAGUAA
rnacentral:rRNA from 1 species